rnacentral:sRNA from 1 species
GCUGGGUGUGGUGGCCCAGGCCUGUAAUCCCAGCAACUAUGGAGGCUGAGGCAGGAGGGUUCCCUUUUUCUGGCCAACCUCAGCCAUUUAAUCAAGACCCUCAAGCAACUUAGUGAGAACCUGUCUCAA